UCACUAUCGCACACUAGUGUCACUGUC
rnacentral:piRNA from 1 species